ACCGAGUGAGUAUAGGGAUAACGGCUUCCCCGUUAGAUAAGCAAAGUCGUUAGUAGCAGUCUCUAUACUCUAGAACUACGUAGCCAGCGUAGGAUAUGAGUAGUCACCUGUCAGAUUAGGCUUGACUAUCUCCCAGGGGUCACCCAUUAGUUCAGGCUUGACUCUCUUAGUCCUUCGGACAAUAAAUCAGUUUAGUUGAUCCACACAGCUAGAGUUAGUACCCGUGGCAUGGUAUUAACU
rnacentral:lncRNA from 1 species